CUCCACCCCGCCAUGGCGCCGCCGCUCCACUGCGGCCCCCACCGUGCUGAGGGCAGCAUCGGGUGCGCCUCGACGUCCUCCAUCUCCCUGUACCUCGAAUCGCCCCAGGGGCUUCCCAAUCGCCGCCAAUUUCGUCUUCCCCGCCUCCGACCGCGAGCAAUUCGUCGACGGUGGCGAGACCGUUCGACCUCCUCUGGCUCCGUCGACCCCUCCGUUGGCUUCCUGAUCUCCGCCGCCGGCCAUGCUCCGGUGGUCCCCCGCUACCGGCGCCGCCUUCUCUUCGUCCGCGCCGACGAGGCGCGUCGAACGCGCUAGCCGCGCCGCCUGGGACGCCUCCAAUCGCCUGGAGCGUCAACGUCCGACCGUGGUCACCGCCGUCUUCGGGAACGCGCGCGGCAAGCCCCUGCGUCGAACACCCUCCGCGCCGCACAGACAAGCUUCGCCACGUCAUCCGCCACCUCGACCUCCCGGCCCCACCUGUCAGCGCCUUGGGCUAGAUCCCGCGUUGGUGAGAAAACGCGUCCCAGAUCCAGAUCCUAUUGCUUUUGCAGAAUGGCCCCUGCAUUUCUAAUUGCUAAAUCCGGCGUCCCUGCUUUUGUCGUUCGCGUGAAAACCCCCUGGAAGUUUUGCUAACCAACCCGGGGUCCUUCCCCCUUUCGAAAAUUGUUUCUGGGUCCUUCCCAUUUAAAAUAAAUCUGUUUAUUCACUUUUAAAAUAGCAAAAUCCUAAUAUGAUAAUAACUUUUAAUUGGUAACUCGAAAUUAAAAGUGUUAUAUAUGAAAAUUGAUCAGAAAAAUGUGAGGAUCAUGAAUAUGCCAUCCAUUCAUUUGUUUGCAUCCCACAUCAUGUGGUUCCGUUAUAGUUUGCAUCGCACCUAAUAAUUAAAUGCGGAGUAUUUGGGAAUUACCGGCUACGGUUCCUCGCUCCGAUUAAUACUGAAGUAGCUCACCCCUGCCAUGAUAUGCCAUGCUAAUCAAUGCUUAACUUUGACGGUAGAAAAUGCAACGCCAACCUAAUUGUUUGUCCGGGGUUCCGACUCCGAUUAAUAUGGAUAAGUUGCAUUGCAUCAUAAUUGCCAUGUCAUGCAUACCAUCUUGAUCAUGCUGGUUCCUUUUUCCGUAGUAGUAAGACUUGCACCCGUUGUUUGUCCAGCAUUUGCUUCUUCCCGGAUAGGAUCACGAAGUGGUGUUGUGAGAUACGACAAGUUUUUCUGCAGCUUUUCACAUGCGAGCCCUCUCUCUUCACCUAUUACACACUCUCCCUCGCAUUGCUAUCCUUAUGUUGCGCUUCUUUAUCGAGUCACGUGUCCUAUUCCACUUGUUUACCCUAAUAAUCCUAUAUGCAUCAUUCCUUACCCAUAGCCGUUGCUUGAUGUUUGAGCCUUGCGAGUCGUAGGCGUGUUUAGGUUCUGUUGUUUAUCUCGAUCUGUUAUCGGGAUAUGUUGGGUUGUUGGGAGGUUAUCACAUGCUAUAUCAAUUGUUGGAGAUAUUCAUGCUUUACUUUAUUGUUAACAACUAAAAUUGUAAGCAGAGGCAUCUGUGAGCCCCUUUGCGAAAGCAUCGGAACUUUGACUUGCUAAUGUCCCCUAGGACCCGAGUUCUUGUUAUCUGUUCCGAGAUUGAGCGCUCUACCCGUACGUGGGGGAGUGGGACCCCCAUCACCCACUACUUUUCAUCGAGUCUGUUUAUUGGGAGCCACAACCUUGGUUUUAUUUGCUCAUAUGCAUGAUUUACUUCUGUUGCCUUCGGGUGUUUAUAUUCUGUUCCGUACUCAUAUCAUGGAACGAUUAGCGACAGCAGGUUGUUCACACUUAGCUUAGCCGUUGACACAAACCUCUGGGUCCGUAUCGGAGUACGGCCGAACUUCAUCACGGGUAGCUUAGCGGGGUGGCUCCCCUUAAACUUUCUCUUGCAUUGGGAACGGUCUUGUUGUGAGACUCCACCUGUAGUAAGUGGGUUCGAGCAUGCGUAUGGUUACAUUUGGGCAACCCCUGCAGGGUGUACAUCUUAUCGAUAAGCCGUGUCCGCGGUUAUGGACGACUUGGAAUUGUAUGGCUUGAUCAUAGAACAACUUACACCUUAUACUUGUUGAUAAUAAUCUGAUAAUAACUUGCGUAGUAAUAUAGCAUUACUACAACCGAUACCUAAUAAAACUUGUCCACCGUUGAGUGCCUUUUACAUUGCCUCUUCGCUGUGUUGAAGGGGAUACGUGUAUUUGGCUGGGUUAUGUUUGUGUAGUAUUUUAUCUGUUACCUUAUGCGCUCUCUUAUCUUCUCUGAGUAGACGGAUGUUGUAGUGUGUCUCUAUUGGUUAUAGUUUUGCUGCCGCUAAACCUACCAUAUAGCCCCAGGUGAUAUAUGUAUUCGCCCGACGAGCAUAGCCAUUUCUAGUCUCGCUAAGUACGUGCCGGAGUUCGUUCCUUGGUACUUACUCUCGCCUUUCCUCUUUCUCUUUUGCUUCCUCCCUUUUGUCGGCAACCGAUGGCCCAACUUUGGCAGGUACGAGAUGACGACGUUAGCAAGGUUACCCUUCCGGCUUGGCCUGGGCAGGGUUAUGGACGCCACUGGUUAUCUUCAGGACUCUUAGUCCAAUUUGUAUCUUGUCCGUACUCGGACGUAUUUGAUCUUCUGUAUGAUUUGGAUCUUUGUAUUGUAUAUUUGUAUCUUGACUCGUUGGAGUCGUUGUUGUAAUAUAUGUAUCUUGUGGGCUCUAUUGUAAUCCUGUUGUAAUGUUA